rnacentral:lncRNA from 1 species
AACGCAGGGACUUUCAGGUACAAAGAGAAGUUGUUGGAGGAAACCAGAGGAGAAAAACCAGCAAAUGAAUGAUAGAGGAUGUACAACUAGACUGACAGACCACAGACUUUCAACCAACAGCAAAGUGAGAGAAAACAAAAACAGAAAUGUCUUCAAAGACAUGAACUUAAUGCUCAAGUGCUGAGUCUGAGUCCAUUAGUUACUAAGCCACUGCUCAAGCAUGAGGACAAAAUGAAGGCCGCUCCAGAUGAAGGGCUUUCCAAAGGAGCCAAUUUGGGAAGGAAUGCAAUUGGACCCAAAAUGGAGCCAGAUCAAGAAGAAAUGAUGAACAAAUGAAAUGAUGAGCCUGUUGCUAAGACUUUUUCAACCUGUGUGCUGUCAACGUGUCAGGCUCUAAAGGUCUAUGUAUUGGAGGAUGUUUAGCUGCCUUCUGAUUCCUGUCCACUAGAUGUCCUUCAUAAAUGAUUCCCAAGUUGUCUCACCAUUUACAAGCCAUUCUGUGCUAACGGACAGCAAAGAGUCUACGCCGCUCUCUUCUCGAAGUUCUACUUCGAAACUCAUGAUCUCUGCAUUUGAUGUUGAAGGAGAGCAAAGCAUGGAAGGUGCUACAGU